GCCUGCCCUGUGAUGAUAUUUUAACGGCCGCGGUAUCUUGACCGUGCGAAGGUAGCGUAAUCACUUGUCUUUUAAAUGAAGACCUGUAUGAAAGGCAUCACGAGAGUUUAACUGUCUCUACUUUCCAAUCAAUGAAAUUGAUCUUCCCGUGCAGAAGCGGGAAUAAACACAUUAGACGAGAAGACCCUAUGGAGCUUCAAAUACUUAAAUUAAUUAUGUAACUAUAUUAUAUUCCAAGGAUAUAAACAAACAAUACAAUAUUCCUAAUUUAACAUAUUUUUGGUUGGGGUGACCAAGGAGAAAAACAAAUCCUCCUUAUCGACUAAGUAUUUAUAUGCUUAAAAAUUAGAAUGACAAUUCUAAGUGAUAAAACAUUUAUCGAAAAAUGACCCAGGAUAUUUUUAAACCUGAUCAAUGAACCAAGUUACCCUAGGGAUAACAGCGCAAUCCUUUCCAAGAGUCCUUAUCGACGAAAGGGUUUACGACCUCGAUGUUGGAUCAGACAUCCUAAUGGUGUAACCGCUAUUAAGGGUUCGUUUGUUCACG
rnacentral:rRNA from 1 species